GUGUGUCACUUGGGGGUGGGGUGGGGUUGUUGGUGGUUAAAUCUUGUAAAGGGUUUUCCUAAUAUGGGCUGUCUCUAGUGAGCUGGCCCCUCCUCCUGGUUGUUUGGUGGGCGUUUCAUUUACUGCUCUCAGCCAGUUAUGACACAGGGCUCGACUACUUCCUCAUUAAUUGGCUGAAACCAGUUCUUACAGGAACCGCCGGUGAUAAAUGUGAGAGUUCUGAGAAAUCAUUCAUUUCUUUCCUCUGCUGCGCUACGGAGCACUGUUGGGGACUGCUGCCUGUGUGUGUGUGUGUGUGUGUGUGUCUGUUUGUGUGUGUGUGUCUGUCUGCGUGACUGACUAGCCAUGUUUUUUGACUCUCUUAACUUACAUUUUUGACCCUGUUUUUUCUUAGGAUAGUGCUUAGGAUAUGCGACUCUCAGUACAUCCUGUACUUUUUGCUUGUGUGUGUGUUUUUUUUUUUUGUUCCUAUCUAUGGGGGAUGAAGUGUUAAGUCGUGGGCUGACUCUCUCACUCUCCCUCCCUUGUCUGUGCGGAGCCAAUGCACUUACUGCUCUUUCAGUGGUGAGUAACGCUGAUGCGAUCAGCCUUGUUCUCUCUCUCUCUCUCUCCUUCUCUGUCCUUCUCUUCCCUCCCUCCUUUCCCCCUUUCUCUUUCUUUCUCCCUUUUCUGCCCCUCCCUCCUUCUCUCCUUUUCUCUCUCUCUCUCUCUCUCUCUCUCUCUCUCUCUCUCUCUCUCUCUCUCUCUCUCCCCCUCUCUCUCUCUCUUUGUGGAUGUGUUCCAGCGUGGUGCCCUUGGUGGGUGCCUCUCUUCAGAAGCCUGUAAGGGAGUAUCAGGAGGCCCAGCGUGCGAAGCUCCACCAUCGGGCGGGAGAGGGCACUCCAGCUCAAGGCUGUGCGCGGUGGGAAAGACUGCCCGGACUUAUAAGCACCGCUUCGCUAAAAGAGUCCCUCUCCUCUGCUUCUCCUCUCGGCAGCCACUCCUCUCGCUGGCAGGGUAAGUCGAUGCUGGCAGGUUGAUGCACGAUGUGCUCCUUCGACAGAUGUGUGUGUGUGUGUGUGUGCGUGUGUGGUUUUUUUGUUUCUGUUUUCAGUCGUACUCCCAGCCUGUCAGAUAGCUUAUCAGACUGGUGUUGGCUGUUAAAUUGCAUGGCGACAACAGUCUGUAGGCUGUCUGACAUUUUGGGCUCUCUCAUCGACCGGCAUCUUUUUUUGUGUGUGUGUGUGUCUCUGUAUUUGUUUAGGGGAUUUGAAAGGGUUAUCAUUUCUGUCUUCAUUGUAUGUCAUUUAGUCAUUGUUGUUUAUGUAAUAUAAUGACAUGUAUUAUACACACAUUUCAGAUGGAUUGCUUUUGGCCAGACAUUAUCAUUUUUGUCUUAUUUUUGUGAAUGUGUAAAAUAACAGCCAUGCCAGUGUCACCAUUCUUUUAGUCUGUCCCAUUUAAAAAAUCUCUGAAUUUACCUGUGGAUACAUGUGGCAGUAAAUGAGCAUGCUUUUGUGUGUGUGUGUGUGUGUGUGUGUGUAUGUGACUCGGUUCUCCACAGUAUUACUGUCUUCCCGUUAAUACAGGCUUCUGUGUGUAUUUCCGGGGUUUGGCUCAGUCCACUUGAAUUUCCUGAGAAUCCAGAGAUCACACACACGCACCCACGUACGUGCGCGCGCACACACACACAGACACACAUACACACCUUAUUGCAACAUGCAGCGAUGGCAGAGAAUCGGUGAGGUGCUCGCAGCCGACUCCCUCCCCCUGCCUUCCCCUUACUCAUUGGCUGCUAGCCAGUCUUGCUCUUUUUUGGUUGUUGUUGUUAUGGCCUAUAGGGUUACCUUUUUAUUAAAAUGAUAAUAUUCUUCAUUAUUAUUAUUAUUGUUUUAUUAUUAUUAUUAUUAUUAUAGUUGUUGUUGUUAUUAGUGGUAUUAGUAUUUGUAUUAGUAGUAGUAGUACUAGUAUUAUUAUAUGUUUGGACUAGUCUGCUUGGCUCAAUCACUCAGGGAGUAUGUUUUCCAGUGUAGUUUUCAGAACAUCCUGUUCUGUGAGGAAGCCCCCUUUCAUAUUUUUUUUUUAAAAUACUGUUUAUUUGCAAUGAAUGUGCUGACUCUUUUUUUCCUCAAAUAAAGUCCCAGACACCGAAA